rnacentral:rRNA from 1 species
UACAGAGGUCCCGAGCGUUGUUCGGAUUCAUUGGGCGUAAAGGGUGCGUAGGCGGCAAUGUAAGUCAGGCGGGAAAUCUUGGGGCUCAACCCCAAAAGUUCGCUUGAUACUGCAAUGCUAGAGUACUGGAGAGGAGACUGGAAUUCACGGUGUAGCAGUGAAAUGCGUAGAUAUCGUGAGGAAGGCCAGUGGCGAAAGCGAGUCUCUGGACAGUUACUGACGCUGAGGCACGAAGGCUAGGGGAGCAAACGGG